UCCGGUUUGUCACCGGCAGUCUGAAGUGAGUCCCCAACUUAAUGCUGGCAACACUCCACGGGGGUUGCGCUCGUUGCGGGACUUAACCCAACAUCUCACGACACGAGCUGACGACAGCCAUGCAGCACCUCCGCAGCGGCCCUUGCGGGCAGCGGCCUUUCAGCCGCCUUCCACUGCGCUUCGAGCCCAGGUAAGGUUCUUCGCGUUGCGUCGAAUUGAACCACAUGCUCCACCGCUUGUGCGGGCCCCCGUCAAUUCCUUUGAGUUUCAGUCUUGCGACCGUACUCCCCAGGCGGAGUGCUUAAUGUGUUGACUUCGGCACAGCAGGGGUCGAUACCCGCUACACCAAGCACUCAUCGUUUACGGCGUGGACUAC
rnacentral:misc_RNA from 1 species